AAACUACUCCCUCCGUCCGGAAUUACUUGUCGCAGAAAUGGAUAAAACUGGAUGUAUCUAGAACUAAAAUACAUCUAGACACAUCCAUUUCUUUGACAAGUAUUUCCGGGCGAAGGGAGUAGCUC
rfam:Triticum aestivum genome assembly, contig: Triticum_aestivum_CS42_TGACv1_scaffold_526857_6DL